rnacentral:rRNA from 1 species
UUCCAGACUCCUACGGGAGGCAGCAGUGGGGAAUAUUGCACAAUGGGGGAAACCCUGAUGCAGCGACGCCGCGUGAGCGAUGAAGUAUUUCGGUAUGUAAAGCUCUAUCAGCAGGGAAGAAGAUGACGGUACCUGACUAAGAAGCCCCGGCUAACUACGUGCCAGCAGCCGCGGUAGUACGUAGGGGGCAAGCGUUAUCCGGAUUUACUGGGUGUAAAGGGAGCGUAGACGGCGAUGCAAGCCAGAUGUGAAAGCCCGGGGCUCAACCCCGGGACUGCAUUUGGAACUGUGUGGCUGGAGUGUCGGAGAGGCAGGCGGAAUUCCUAGUGUAGCGGUGAAAUGCGUAGAUAUUAGGAGGAACACCAGUGGCGAAGGCGGCCUGCUGGACGAUGACUGACGUUGAGGCUCGAAAGCGUGGGGAGCAAACAGGAUUAGAUACCCCUGUA